UGGACCACGUUAGUUCUGAAGGAUUCGUUUCCAUUGAAAUGUACCUGGCUAAAAGGCGAGCCACUAUUGUUUGACCGCUUAUCCCGAGUUGAACUCAGAGUUGACCAAAGGUACCUUGCUAACUCCUCAAACCCACUACGUAGUAUAUAUCCCUCAAGGUCCCAGAUCUAUGUAGUAUAUAUCCCCCAGGGUCCCAGAUCUACGUAGUAUAUAUCCAUCAAGGUCCCAGAUCUACGUAGUAUAUAUCCCUCAAGGUCCCAGAUCUACGUAGUAUAUAUCCAUCAAGGUCCCAGAUCUACGUAGUAUAUAUCCCUCAAGGUCCCAGAACUACGUAGUAUAUAGUCCUCAAGGUCCCAGAUCUACGUAGUAUAUAUCCCUCAAGGCCCCAGAUCUACGUAGUAUAUAUCCCUCAAGGUCCCAGAUCUACGUAGUAUAUAUCCCUCAAGGUGCCAGAUCUACGUAGUAUAUAUCCCUCAAGGUCCCAGGUCUACGGAGUAUAUAGUCCUCAAGGUCCCAGAUCUACGUAGUAUAUAUCCCUCAAGGUCCCAGAUCUACGUGGUAUAUAGUCCUCAAGGUCCCAGAUCUACGUAGUAUAUAUCCCUCAUGGUCCUAGAUCUGCGUAGUAUAUAUCCCGCAAGGUCCCAGAUCUACGUAGUAUAUAUCCCGCAAGGUCCCAGAUCUACAUAGUAUAUAGUCCGCAAGGUCCCAGAUCUACGUAGUAUAUAGUCCUCAAAGUCCCAGAUCUACUUAGUAUAUAGUCCUCAAAGUCACAGAUCUACCUAGCAUAUAGUCCUCAAGGUCCCAGAUCUACAUAGUAUAUAUUCCCCAAGGUCCCAGAUCUAUGUAGUAUAUAGUCCUCAAGGUCCCAGAUCUACGUAGUAUAUAUCCCUCAAGGUCCCAGAUCUACGUAGUAUAUAUCCCUCAAGGUCCCAGAUCUACUUAGUAUAUAUCCCUCAAGGUCCCAGAUCUACGUAGUAUAUAUCCCUCAAGGUCCCAGAUCUACGUAGUAUAUAGUCCUCAAGGUCCCAGAUCUACGUAGUAUAUAUCCCUCAAGGUCCCAGAUCUACGUAGUAUAUAUCCCUCAAGGUCCCAGAUCUACUUAGUAUAUAUCCCUCAAAGUCCCAGAUCUACGUAGUAUAUAGUCCUCAAGGUCCCAGAUCUACGUAGUAUAUAGUCCUCAAGGUCCCAGAUCUACGUAGUAUAUAUCCCUCAAGGUCCCAGAUCUACGUAGUAUAUAGUCCUCAAGGUCCCAGAUCUAUGUAGUAUAUAGUCCUCGCGGUCCCAGAUCUACGUAGUAUAUAUCCCUCAAGGUCCCAGAUCUACGUAGUAUAUAUCCCUCAAGGUCCCAGAUCUACGUAGUAUAUAUCCCUCAAGGUCCCAGGUCUACGUAGUAUAUAGUCCUCAAGGUCCCAGAUCUACGUAGUAUAUAUCCCUCAAGGUCCCAGAUCAAAGUAUUAUGUAUCCCUCAAGGUCUUAGAUCGAAGUAGUAUAUAUCCCUCAAGGUCCCAGAUCUGCGUAGUAUGUAUCCCUCAAGGUCCCAGAUCUGCGUAGUAUGUAUCCCUCAAGGUCCCAGAUCUGCGUAGUAUGUAUCCCUCAAGGUCCCAGAUCGAAGUAUUAUGUAUCCCUCAAGGUCCCAGAUCUGCGUAGUAUAUAUCCCGCAAGGUCCCAGAUCUACGUAGUAUAUAGUCCUCAAGGUCCCAUAUCUACGUAGUAUAUAGUCCUCAAGGUCCCAUAUGUACGUAGUAUAUAGUCCUCAAGGUCCCAUAUCUACGUAGUAUAUAGUCCUCAAGGUCCCAGAUCUAUGUAGUAUAUAGUCCUCAAGGUCCCAGAUCUAUGUAGUAUAUAGUCCUCAAGGUCCCAGAUCUACGUAGUAUAUAGUCCUCAAGGUCCCAUAUCUACGUAGUAUAUAGUCCUCAAGGUCCCAGAUCUACGUAGUAUAUAGUCCUCAAGGUCCCAUAUCUACGUAGUAUAUAGUCCUCAAGGUCCCAUAUCUACGUAGUAUAUAGUCCUCAAGGUCCCAGAUCUACGUAGUAUAUAGUCCUCAAGGUCCCAUAUCUACGUAGUAUAUAGUCCUCAAGGUCCCAGAUCUACGUAGUAUAUGUCCCUCAAGGUCCCAGAUCUAUGUAGUAUAUAGUCCUCAAGGUCCCAGAUCUAUGUAGUAUAUAUCCCUCAAGGUCCCAUAUCUACGUAGUAUAUAGUCCUCAAGGUCCCAGAUCUACGUAGUAUAUAGUCCUCAAGGUCCCAGAUCUACGUAGUAUAUAUCCCUCAAGGUCCCAGAUCUACGUAGUAUAUAUCCCUCAAGGUCCCAGAUCUACGUAGUAUAUAGUCCUCAAGGUCCCAGAUCUACGUAGUAUAUAUCCCCCAGGGUCCCAGAUCUACGUAGUAUAUAGUCCUCAAGGUCCCAGAUCUACCUAGUAUAUAUCACCCAAGGUCCCAGAUCUACGUAGUAUAUAGCCCCCAAGGUCCCAUAUCUACGUAGUAUAUAAAGUCCCCUGGUUUCUCAAGACAUCUUGACCUGUUUUAUCAGAUUAAUAUGGAACACAAUGUGUUUUGUAAAAUUCCGUGCAAAUUUACCCCAAUUCUAGUCUUAGUCGUCUUGGUUAUGUAACGUGCAGUUGCCCUACUGUACAUUUCACAGAAAUACUUAGGCACUGACCGAUUUACUAAAAAACCCUGAAAGGGUCAGGAAACGCUGCUGAUAAAAACCCGUACCACAACAUUGAGAAGGAAACGGCUGCUGUUAUCAGAUAGUAGAACUGUGUGUUGAUGUAGCCUACUUAUUCAGUCUCAAUGUAUUCUUCUU